UGACACACAAUGUCACAAUGUCACUGGGUUC
rnacentral:piRNA from 1 species